rnacentral:rRNA from 1 species
AUUGAACGCUGGCGGCAGGCUUAACACAUGCAAGUCGAGCGGUGAAAAGUAGCUUGCUACUUGACCUAGCGGCGGACGGGUGAGUAAUGCUUAGGAAUCUGCCUAUUAGUGGGGGACAACAUCUCGAAAGGGAUGCUAAUACCGCAUACGUGCUACGGGAGAAAGCAGGGGACCUUCGGGCCUUGCGCUAAUAGAUGAGCCUAAGUCGGAUUAGCUAGUUGGUGGGGUAAAGGCCUACCAAGGCGACGAUCUGUAGCGGGUCUGAGAGGAUGAUCCGCCACACUGGGACUGAGACACGGCCCAGACUCCUACGGGAGGCAGCAGUGGGGAAUAUUGGACAAUGGGGGGAACCCUGAUCCAGCCAUGCCGCGUGUGUGAAGAAGGCCUUUUGGUUGUAAAGCACUUUAAGCGAGGAGGAGGCUACCGAGAUUAAUACUCUUGGAUAGUGGACGUUACUCGCAGAAUAAGCACCGGCUAACUCUGUGCCAGCAGCCGCAGUAAAAC